rnacentral:rRNA from 1 species
UAUCAAUAAGCGGAGGAAAAGAAACCAACAGGGAUUGCCUUAGUAACUGCGAGUGAAGCGGCAAAAGCUCAAAUUUGAAAUCGGUGUCCAUAAAGUACAUCGAGUUGUAAUUUGGAGGGACAACUUCGGGCCGAACCACACCGUAAGUUUUUUGGAACAGGACAUCAUAGAGGGUGAGAAUCCCGUGUCUUGGUGUAGGGUCAAACCAUGUGAAGUGUCUCCGACGAGUCGAGUUGUUUGGGAAUGCAGCUCAAAAUGGGUGGUAAAUUUCAUCUAAAGCUAAAUAUUGGCGAGAGACCGAUAGCGCACAAGUAGAGUGAUCGAAAGAUGAAAAGCACUUUGAAAAGAGAGUUAAAAAGUACGUGAAAUUGUUGAAAGGGAAGCGCUUGCGACCAGACUCGAUCUUUGGAGAUCAGCCGGGCUUCGGUUCGGUGCCCUCUUCAUUGAUUGGGCCAGCAUCGGUUCCGGCGGUGGGAUAAAAGGAGGAGGAAUGUGGCUCCCCUCGGGGAGUGUUAUAGCCACCUUCACAAUGCUACCAGUUGGGACCGAGGACCGCGCUUCGGCUAGGAUGCUGGUGUAAUGGUCUUAAGCGACCCGUCUUGAAACACGGACCAAGGAGUCUAACAUCUAUGCGAGUGUUCGGGUGGAAAACCCUUGCGCGUAAUGAAAGUGAACGGAGGUGUGAACCCUUUGCCGGGUGCAACAUCGACCGGUCCUGAUGUCUUCGGAAGGAUCUGAGUAAGAGCAUAGCUGUUGGGACCCGAAAGAUGGUGAACUAUGCCUGAAUAGGGUGAAGCCAGAGGAAACUCUGGUGGAGGCUCGCAGCGGUUCUGACGUGCAAAUCGAUCGUCAAAUUUGGGUAUAGGGGCGAAAGACUAAUCGAACCAUCUAGUAGCUGGUUCCUGCCGAA